UCCUCCAAGGCUAAAUACUCCUGACUGACCGAUAGUGAACCAGUACCGUGAGGGAAAGGCGAAAAGAACCCCGGCGAGGGGAGUGAAAAAGAACCUGAAACCGUGUACGUACAAGCAGUGGGAGCACCCUUUGGGGUGUGACUGCGUACCUUUUGUAUAAUGGGUCAGCGACUUAUAUUCUGUAGCAAGGUUAACCGUAUAGGGGAGCCGGAGGGAAACCGAGUCUUAA
rnacentral:rRNA from 1 species